rnacentral:rRNA from 1 species
CACGUAGGGUGCGAGCGUUGUCCGGAAUUAUUGGGCGUAAAGAGCUCGUAGGCGGUGUGUCGCGUCGGCCGUGAAAACCUGCAGCUUAACUGUGGGCUUGCGGUCGAUACGGGCAUCACUGGAGUUCGGCAGGGGAGACUGGAAUUCCUGGUGUAGCGGUGAAAUGCGCAGAUAUCAGGAGGAACACCGGUGGCGAAGGCGGGUCUCUGGGACGAUACUGACGCUGAGGAGCGAAAGCGUGGGGAGCGAACAGG